UACAGAAUGAAGUAUAUCCGGUUUGAAUUCAUGUGUUCUCGAUCUCGGAUAGCCAACUUUUUGAUGUUUUGGAACUUAUGACUUAUGACAAGAGAGAAGAAAACUGACUUUAAAAGAAAGCCAGUGAGAUUAAAUCAUAUGAAUGUUUGAUGAAUCAGGAUGUGAUCAUUUGAGGCAUUCAGCAAUGUCAUUACUAAUGACAAACAUAAGAAACGGAGACGGGAGAAUGGAAAGACUGAUCUUCACAGGCAGCAGUCAAAACAAAGCAAAAGAAAGCGUUCAGAACUGGAAAGAAGAAAGAAGACCAUGGAACAUCUUAUCUAGACGAGUCAUGGACCCCAACAUCUAAAAAGAACUUGACGGAGUGCCUUCAGUUGGACAUUACUUCACCUGAGAAGACUGAUGACGAAGACUCAACAAAGAGGGUCAGGCUCCCAUUUUCCUGGGACUAAUUCGCAUUAAAUUCUCCGUGUGAAUGCCAAUUCGCAGUAACUUUAUGUUUAAUUCGAAUUAAACUCUCCAUGUGAACAGGGCAUAAAUAUCAAUAGUCACUAAUUUGGUUUUCAUGUAUAAAAUAUUUAUAUAAAAGCAGCUAAAGCAUCUGGCCAUGUUUGUAUUUUUGUUUUACAUACAGAUGCAGUGUUGAUAUUUUGACAUAUCUGUAAAAAAUUGUUGUGCUUUUUCAUAGAUUUAUUUUUUAUAAUGCUGUAGUAACUUAAUUGAGUCCCUGAAUGUCAAUAGUCACUAAUUUGGUUUUAAUUUAUAAAAUAUUGUAUUUUUUUUAUAAUAGUAACUAAAAGCAAGCCAUGAUUUUUUUUUAUGUUGUACAUAUACAAUGUUGAUGCUUUGAUAUAUCUUUAAAAUUUGUUAUACUUUUUCAUAGAUUUAUUUUGUUCGAAUAAUACUUAAGAAACUGAAUUGAGUAACUUAAAUUUUUCUUUGUUGUGAAUUUGAAUAGGUAGUAU